ACCCCACCCCCAUAUUUUCAUUCUAUUUCUAUUUUCCCCUAGAACAUAUUUGUUUUCUAUCAAUUUAGUCCCUUAUUCUAUUUUAAUCCUAACCCUUGAUCUAGAAAGGCUAUUGAUCUUAAACUGCCAUGUGGCAGCUCUCAGAUCCCUCUUUCCUUUCAUCUCUGCCCGAAACUCAUCUCAGAAUCUCAGUGCUCUCUUUCUUUCGGUUUCUUCUCUCUCUUUCUCACACUCUCUAAGCUCCGAGAGCUUCUCUCUAGCUUUCACCUCACUUCCCUUACAAAUCAAACCCAAAAACCAUAUAUUUGGGAUCCUUGAGACUUAACGAACUCAACGAUACCCUUGCAUGCGCCAUCAGAGCACCGUGGGUUUUUCUGCCAUUGAAGCUGAGAGCUUCAAAACUCUAAAACUCGAACCCAGGUGAAGUUGCUAGUGGAGACUUCCUUAAUCAUUUUUCGCACAAUUCUGCUGCUUCGGAGUAUCUGUCUUAGAAACGAGGCAUAGAAUCCCGGCAUCAAGGCAUUUCCGCAGCAGCAUCUUCGAGUCCUCUCGGGGUAGGACCUACUCCUUGUUCAUUCAAUCUUAUCUUAAUUCUU